rnacentral:rRNA from 1 species
GGCCUUCGGGUUGUAAACCUCUUUCAGUAGGGAAGAAGCGAAAGUGACGGUACCUGCAGAAGAAGCGCCGGCUAACUACGUGCCAGCAGCCGCGGUAAUACGUAGGGCGCAAGCGUUAUCCGGAAUUAUUGGGCGUAAAGAGCUCGUAGGCGGUUUGUCGCGUCUGCCGUGAAAGUCCGGGGCUCAACUCCGGAUCUGCGGUGGGUACGGGCAGACUAGAGUGAUGUAGGGGAGACUGGAAUUCCUGGUGUAGCGGUGAAAUGCGCAGAUAUCAGGAGGAACACCGAUGGCGAAGGCAGGUCUCUGGGCAUUAACUGACGCUGAGGAGCGAAAGCAUGGGGAGCGAACAGGAUUAGAUACCCUGGUAGUCCAUGCCGUAAACGUUGGGCACUAGGUGUGGGGGACAUUCCACGUUUUCCGCGCCGUAGCUAACGCAUUAAGUGCCCCGCCUGGGGAGUACGGCCGCAAGGCUAAAACUCAAAGGAAUUGACGGGGGCCCGCACAAGCGGCGGAGCAUGCGGAUUAAUUCGAUGCAACGCGAAGAACCUUACCAAGGCUUGACAUGAACCGGAAACGCCUGGAGACAGGUGCCCCGCUUGCGGUCGGUUUACAGGUGGUGCAUGGUUGUCGUCAGCUCGUGUCGUGAGAUGUUGGGUUAAGUCCCGCAACGAGCGCAACCCUCGUUCUAUGUUGCCAGCACGUG